rnacentral:lncRNA from 1 species
UAAUUUUCCCUUUCUUCGGAAACUUUAAAGAUUAAUUAAUAAGGGAAAACCAAAUUGACACUUUAUGUGCACUCUAAAAGUACUAUUCUAGUAGUCAAAAAUAAUUAAAAGAAAAGGUAUUAAAAUACUUAUUUUGCUUUAAGAAAAAUUUUUUUAUAUUCCUGAUUACUAGUGAGAUUGAGCAUUUUUGUAUGUAUGUUACUAUUUACAUUUUUAAUGAAUUAUUCAUAUCCUUUGUCCAUUUUUAAUCCUUUUCUUAUUAUGCAAAAGCUCUCUUUUUAGAAUGGAUAUUAAUCUCUUACCUACUAUAUAUUGUGCAGACAUUUUCUUCAUGUCUACUUUAACUUUAUCUUAUUGUUCCCAUACAGAAGUUUUACAUUUUUGUAGUGUAGUGAAAUCUGUCAGUCUUGUCCUUUAUGACUUCCAGGUUUUGUGUCAUAAUAGGAAGAACUUCCCUGUACCAAAUGCCUUAGAGGAGGCCAAACUGCCAAAAUAAGUAGGCCCAACAUGUGAUGGCCCAAAUAACAUAGAAGUUUGUUUUGUUCUCUAAAUAGUUCAGGACAGUCAUUCCAGGUUGAAAGAAGAAGGUAGGUUCUAUUCAAAUACAGUCAUUCAGGGGCUCAGACUGACACUGUCAUCUUUAACAUAUGGUUUUGAAGGUCACUCUGGCUGUGGAAGGAUGUACACAGGAGGCUUACAGGCUAGAGCCACAAGUUGCAUACAAACUUUCUGCUUAUAUUCCUUUGAGGAGAACUUCAUUAUAGGACCACAUUUAAUUGCAAGGGAGGCUCGGGGAUGUAGGAAAGCUGGAUAUAUGAAAGAAGGGAGAAUGGGUUGUAGAAAUCUAGCAUUCUCUACCACAGUUCUUCCCUCUGUCCCACACAUGGAAUAGAGUUACUUCUUCCCCAAGAGAAAGAACGCAAAGUCCAAUCCAGAUACUGCAUUCAGCUCAAAGUCCAGUCUGAAACAUCUCAGUUUCCUUAACUUAUUAAUAUUAGUUCUCUAGUGAAGACGGGUUGUUUUUACCUGCCAGCAUCUGUUUCCUGUAUUAACAUUUUCUGUGUAAAGAAACACCUCUACCCAAUUUUCAGUCCAUAGAGUCCACAGAGGCUCACCAUCCUCCCAUCCAGACUCUAGCGGUGGGUCAGUUACUCAGGCUAGAAUAUUCCAUUGUGCUGGCCAUAGUAAUGAGUUCAAUGGUGACCAUGUGACUCAUGUUAUUCCGAAGGAUGUCAGCCCAGAAUUUUUGCUGAGUCACUGGAAAGUGGUGCUGUCUUUUCACUGGCGUUCCUAGCAGACGCCGUCAGCCGGUCCAGCGAGUGACCCGCGAGGACCAGCCUGCGUUUCUCUAACUGCGAGAAUUGUUGUCCCCUGGGUCGGCCACUGUCGCGAUCGCAGACAAGCGAGAGCCCAGAAAGUGAGUGAUUCCGAGGAAGAGAGCAGGUCCCCCCACGCCCACCCCGAGGACCUCGCUGGAGCGGUCGGUCUGCGAGUUUUAUGUUACGACCCAAUUCCAAGUCAAGUGUGAACAAAGCAAAUGCGGGCAGUGCGUCUAGUAAACCUGUGGACCCCCUCCUCCCACUCCCAUUGCCCGCUGUCCGCCUCCCUCCUCCCCCAGCCCCAUCCUCCCUCUGGCGCCGCGAGCCAGGGAGCGCUGCCCGUCGGCUGCAGGAGAGGAGAGGGAGCCGGAAUCGCAGCCGAACCUACCUCGCCUGCCCCGCAUGCGGGCCUGCGUGAAGUCAAGAGUGCUGGACUCCCGCGAAAGUGGCGGUGAGGCGCUUGGGCCCUGGCCUAGAGAUGCUGAAACUGAAGAUUUUUGUCCUAAGAGAGACGAAUUGGACUUAGAAGAUUCUAAAGUGAAAAAAAGCAACAAAGAGGCUUCAAGGCAGAAAGUGGUGGGACAAAGUGAAACUUCCAGGACCUCCUUUGGAGGAACCAAACAAUAGACUAGUGGUGAUGGUGGGCAAAGCCGUGAAAGUUUGGGCGGGAGAGUGGGGAAAUGUGGAGAUGUUCACAGAGACGCCUGGGGAAAUUACCCCAGAAGCAAGUUUUUGGUGAAAGUACCAUCCUUGCUGUCUUCAUGAACCACACAGGGGAGAAUGGAAAAAGCUCUGGACAGAGCUCUAACGUGGUGUGAUAUCAGAAGACACGUGCCGGAGAAAAGCCCUACCAGUGUAAGGAAUGUGGCACACGUUCCAGCCAGAGCAGAGCUGGGAGUCCACACCCAGGAGAGCCUCAGGGUGUGCAGUGAGGAGGGAGAAAGCUUUGCUUCUGGCUCACACCUCACCAUGCCCCACUCCAGGAAGAGGCCAUAUCGUUGCCUUGACUGUAAGAAAACCUUACGUGCCCCACACAGAUGGUGCAUCAGAGAAUCCACAUUGAAAUGAAAGCAAAGAAUGUAGUGAGAGUGGCAAAAGCUUCAGGUAGAGCUCAGCACCCUCAUGAGCACUAGGUGGCGACACUGAGCCAAAACUUCGUCCUUGUGUCAUGUGUGGGAAAAGCUUGAGGUAAAGCUCAUGCCUCAUGGUGCCCCAGAGAAUCCAGCUAGGGGGAGACCCUACAAUGCAAUGGUGUCAGGUGGCUUCUGCCCCAGCAUAACCUUCAUGAUGCACAGCAGAGAAGCCCUGCAAAUCCUGGAUGUGGGAAAGUUUUGGUCAUGGCACCAGCUUAAUUUUACAUUAUAGAAUCUCCUGGAGAGAAAACUUACCAGUGUUGUGCAUGGGAGAAGAGAUGUGGUGGCAGCUCUCAUCUUUGAAGAUACCAGAAAACCCACAGCUCAGGAAUGGUUCAACAGGGGAGAGUUCUAUGAGAUUCGAUUUCCUUGGUCAUAGGCAACUUACUGGGCAACGAGAGAAUUCACUACCCAAAAGGUUGUUCUUUCUUCCUGGAUCCAAACCACCGGAGCUGCACUUUCUGGUUGGGAAGGGCAGGCAACGAUGGAUGUGGUGACUGAAUGGCAGCAAAAAACUUUUCAGUCAAAUGUUCAAAUCGUAAAACUGUCAACUUUUUUCCUGCAACGAGGAGCAAUGAGAGAAAGAUGGAAAACUACAGAUCAAUGUCGUUUUCAGCAGAGAAAGAAGAUUCUGGCAAGCAGAGCUUUUUAACAUGGAAGAGGCUGCGUUGGGAGGCAAUGAACUCCUCAUCACUGGGAGAGGUUCAUGCAGAAACUGGAUAAUCAGCUGCCAGAAUGUCUUCUCCAGUUCAACACAAUUAAGCACUUGUUACAUGCACCGGCCUAUAGACUGAAAGGGGAUUCCUCCAUUGAGUGGGAGGUUGGGUUUGAUAAUCCCACAGGACCCAUUACAAUUCAAAGAUUCUCUAAUUGAAUGAUUUUAUCACAUCUUGGAUCAAAACUGUUUUUCACACAGAUGACAAGAACAGAGUUUCACCGCUUUAUAAUGUUUGAUGUUUAAUAAUAUAAGACAUAGUUUUAAGAGCUCAGCUUUUGGAGGCAGUGAUCUGAGUUCAGAUGCUGGUUCUGCCACAUAUGGGCUAUGUGACUUUGAGCAAAUGAAUGAACUAAUCUGAACCUCAGUUUUUCCCAACUGUAAGAUGAGGGUGCUAAUACUUGAAACCAGCUCAUAAUGCAGUGAGGAUUAAGUGAGAUGAUCUACAUAAAGUGCUUAGCAUGAUGUUUAGAACAUGGUAAAUGCUCAAUAAACAUUACCACCAGGCUUUAUUGAAGUGUCAUUCUCAACUAAGUCUUACACCUGACCUUUAGCUCUGUGAUUCUGUUUGCAGGAGACAAGAGUCUCCAUAAAUGCCAACAAGGAGGGCCUCUGACACACACAUUUUGCAUUAAGUUGGUGGUUAUCCGUCCUGUGUCAUUUUUCUCUCUUCAAGCAAUCAAUAGCUUUCACCAAGAGCCACCCAAUUCCGAAUCCUUAUAUUAUUUCCAUUUUUUCCCCAAACCAUACCGAAG